AAUGAAUUCCCACGGGAUUUUUAAAAACCUAAAACCACACAGAUGAAGUCAUGGGUAUCAUUUUGUACAAUAUAAAAAUUUGA